rnacentral:rRNA from 1 species
UACGUAGGGCGCAAGCGUUAUCCGGAAUUACUGGGCGUAAAGCGUGCGCAGGCGGUUUUGUAAGCCAGAUGUGAAAUCCCCGGGCUUAACCUGGGAAUGGCAUUUGGGACUGCAAGGCUGGAGUGUGGCAGAGGAGACUGGAAUUCCUGGUGUAGCAGUGAAAUGCGUAGAUAUCAGGAGGAAUACCGAUGGCGAAGGCAGGUCUCUGGGCUGACACUGACGCUCAUGCACGAAAGCGUGGGGAGC